AAGACAUGAUGAGGACACUGUAUUGGCAAUCCUUUGAGUCUUUCCCAAGCUGUAAACAAUGAUUCUCCUUCUGUCUGUUGGAAGUUUAUGAUUUCACUUCUACAUUU